CAGCGAAGGAGUUGGCCAAAUUGUAAUCUUUGUCCUCUUUGCAAGCAAACUCCGGAAUCGGGGGCACACCUUCUUUUUGAAUGCCGCUACACCAUCCAUGUGUGGAGAAUGAUUAAAUCUUGGCUCGGUUUACAAGAUGUACACCCAGCGAACUGGGGUGGUUUGACUUCUGUCAAGGAGUGGUGGUGUGCCAAUGCUUCUAGGACCUCACGACCACGAAGGGCGUUGACUUCCAUUAUGCUACUGAUUUCUUGGGAAAUAUGGAAAGAGCGAAAUGCAUGUCUGUUCCUAACAACGCAAUUCCGGUGGGUGUGCUUAUUGCUCGAAUCAAAGAGGAAGCCUCAUGGUGGUGCCAUGCCGGGGCAAAAUAUUUUUGCAAUGUAA
rnacentral:rRNA from 1 species